AUAAAAAAUGAUUGGGCGUAAAGGGCGCGUAGGCGGCGCGGCAAGUCCGGAGUGAAAGUCCUGCUUUUAAGGUAGGAAUUGCUUUGGAAACUGUCGAGCUUGAGUGCAGGAGAGGUAAGCGGAAUUCCCGGUGUAGCGGUGAAAUGCGUAGAGAUCGGGAGGAACACCAGUGGCGAAGGCGGCUUACUGGACUGUAACUGACGCUGAGGCGCGAAAGUGUGGGGAGCAAACAGGAUUAGAUACCCUGGUAGUCCACACUGUAAACGAUGAAUGCUAGGUGUAGGGGGUAUCGACCCCUUCUGUGCCGGAGUCAACACAAUAAGCAUUCCGCCUGGGGAGUACGGCCGCAAGGUUGAAACUCAAAGGAAUUGACGGGGGCCCGCACAAGCGGAGGAACAUGUGGUUUAAUUCGAUGAUACGCGAGGAACCUUACCCGGGCUCGAACGGUGCAUGAAUGUCAGAGAGAUUUGACAGUCCUUCGGGACAUGUAUCGAGGUGCUGCAUGGUUGUCGUCAGCUCGUGCCGUGAGGUGUCGGCUUAAGUGCCAUAACGAGCGCAACCCUUGUUGACAGUUACCAUCAGGGUAAAGCUGGGGACUCCGUCGAGACUGCCACCGUAAGGUGUGAGGAAGGGGGGGAUGACGUCAAAUCAGCACGGCCCUUAUGUCCGGGGCGACACACGUGUUACAAUGGGAGGUACAGAGGGCAGCUAUCCAGUGAUGGGAGUGCAAAUCUCAAAAACCUUUCUCAGUUCAGGAUUGGAGUCUGCAACUCGACUCCAUGAAGUUGGGAUUCCGCUAGUAAUCGCGCAUCAG
rnacentral:rRNA from 1 species